GCCAAGACUGCGUUCGAAAAUUCUACUCGUCGGCACAGUUUAAAGUUACACAUACACAUAAAUGAUUGGCGCUACUGUCACUGUCACCAAAUUAUCAUCAUUGCACGCGUCAGCCGAAAUUGCUGUUGAUCCCUUCCCGGUAAAUGUAAAAUAAAUACGUUAUUGUAUUAAGAGUUCAGUUUUGCAAUGGGAAUCCUGGAAAAGAUCUCGGAAAUUGAGAAGGAGAUUGCGCGCACGCAGAAAAAUAAAGCCACCGAGUACCAUCUGGGCUUGUUGAAGGCAAAGCUCGCUAAAUACAGAUCCCAGCUUUUGGAACCGGCGAAAAAGUCAGAGAAGGGUGAAGGUUUCGACGUGCUGAAAUCGGGCGAUGCCAGAGUCGCACUAAUUGGCUUCCCAUCGGUCGGCAAAUCAACUCUGCUCAGUACACUGACUGCUACCCAGUCAGAGGCGGCGUCUUAUGAAUUUACCACCCUGACAUGUAUCCCUGGCGUUAUCGAGUACAAAGGUGCCAAUAUACAAUUGCUGGAUCUGCCUGGUAUAAUCGAAGGAGCGGCGCAGGGAAAAGGACGAGGUAGGCAAGUGAUAUCUGUCGCUAGAACGGCGGAUUUGGUACUUAUGAUGUUGGAUGCAACUAAGCAGGACGUUCAGCGACAACUUUUAGAGAAGGAAUUGGAAUCAGUUGGGAUAAGACUUAACAAGAAAAAACCGAAUAUAUAUUUCAAAGUGAAAAAGGGCGGCGGCUUAGCCUUUAAUUCAACGUGUCCUUUGACGAAAGUGGAUGAGAAGCUAGUUCAAAUGAUUCUACAUGAAUAUAAAAUCUUCAAUGCUGAGGUGCUGUUUCGCGAGGAUUACAGCGCAGACGAAUUGAUCGAUGUUAUCAACGCGAACAGAGUAUAUUUGCCUUGCCUUUAUGUAUAUAAUAAAAUAGAUCAAAUAUCGAUAGAGGAAGUCGAUCGGAUUGCUAGGCAACCCAAUAGUGUUGUAGUUAGUUGCAAUAUGAAAUUAAAUCUUGAUUUUCUGCUGGAAAUAUUGUGGGAAUACUUGUGCUUGAUAAGAGUAUAUACAAAAAAACCUGGGCAACCACCUGACUUUGACGACGGUUUAAUAUUGAGGAAAGGGGUAACAGUAGAACAUGUAUGUCAUGCAAUUCACCGUACUCUUGCCCAACAAUUCAAAUAUGCUCUUGUGUGGGGCACAAGUACCAAGUAUUCGCCUCAGCGAGUAGGAUCGCAGCAUGUGAUGCACGAUGAAGACGUCGUACAAAUAAUGAAAAAAUAAAUUCCAACAAAAAUUUACAAAGCCGUUCGUAAGGAAAUGUGAAUAGCAAUAUAAGCCUUACUUAGCCUUUUAUGUACAACAAAGUAAGCGAGCAAACUACUACUCCGACAAAACUGUGAAAUUCGACGGUUUUAGGAUGAAUGUAUUUAAAUUACCUAUUUUAAGAAGCUUGUGGUUUGCAGAACUUAUUCCAAUAAAAUUUCUUAAGAGAAGAGGAGGGAGAAGGAAGGAAAAUGAAACAAAUUUAUUUUAAAAUCAAAUCUGAGAAUAUAUCAUAUACAUCUAUCAAAUUAUAACUAUUGUAAUGAGUAAUUUUGGGACUCGUUAAAAGUGUACAUGUAAGAGUUACACAUACACAUAAUUUAUAAAUAAAAUUUUUAUAUAAUAAA